CAUCUACGGAGAGUUUGAUCCUGGCUCAGGACGAACGCUGGCGGCGUGCUUAACACAUGCAAGUCGAACGCUGAACCCGCUUCGGUGGGGAAUGAGUGGCGAACGGGUGAGUAACACGUGGGCAACCUGCCCCCGGCUCUGGGAUA
rnacentral:rRNA from 1 species